rnacentral:rRNA from 1 species
UUCCGGUUGAUCCUGCCGGACCCCACUGCUAUCGAGGUGGGACUAAGCCAUGCUAGUUGAGCGCACAGAACUAUGUCUGUGAGCGGCACACUGCUCAGUAACACGUAGCUAACCUACCCUUAGGACGUGGACAACCCCGAGAAAUUGGGGCUAAUCCGCGAUAGAUGUAUUGUCCUGGAAUGGUAUUACGUCUAAAGGUAUCCCAUGCAUGUUUGGUAUAUGCCUAAGGAUGGGGCUGCGGCCGAUCAGGCAGUUGGUGAGGUAAUGGCUCACCAAACCUUUGACCGGUACGGGCCAUGAGAGUGGUAGCCCGGAGAUGGACACUGAGACAAGGGUCCAGGCCCUACGGGGCGCAGCAGGCGCGAAACCUCCUCAAUGCACUUACGUGCGAAGGGGCUACCUCGAGUGCCACCUGAUGAAGGUGGCUUUUCCUAGGUCUAAAAAGCCUUGGGAAUAAGAGGGGGGCAAGACUGGUGUCAGCCGCCGCGGUAACACCAGCCCCUCGAGUGGUGGGGAUGAUUAUUGGGCCUAAAGCGUCCGUAGCCUGCCGUAUAAGUUUCCCGUUAAAUCCAGCGUCUUAAGCGUUGGACUGCGGGAAAUACUGUACGGCUAGAGAGUGGGAGAGGUCAGCGGUAUUCUGGGGGUAGGGGCGAAAUCCUUUGAUCCCCGGAGGACCACCAGUGGCGAAAGCUGCUGACUAGAACACGUCUGACGGUCAGGGACGAAAGCUGGGGUAGCGAACCGGAUUAGAUACCCGGGUAGUCCCAGCCGUAAACGAUGCAUGCUAGUGUUGGGUUGGCCACGAGCCACCCCAGUGCCGCAGGGAAGCCGUUAAGCAUGCCGCCUGGGAAGUACGAUCGCAAGGUUGAAACUUAAAGGAAUUGGCGGGGGAGCACCACCAGGCGUGAAGCCUGCGGUUUAAUUGGAGUCAACGCCGG